rnacentral:lncRNA from 1 species
UAACUCAUCCAAUCAAAAUAAACCACAUCACACCAUACCCCACCCCCAUCUCACCACUACCCUAGCCCUACCUUACUACCCCACCCUCACCUCACAGCAUAUAUACACUACACCUCACAAAAAAAAAAGGGACCCCCAAAAAAAAAAAUACACCAACACUCUGAUUAUCCAUCUUCUCUUCACGACCUUCAUACAUACACAAUACAAACCUUAAGAACACGCUAAUGAUUCAUCCACGCAGAACUCAUCCUCACCAAAUACACUUACCACUCUCUCACCAUCGCAGACACGCACAGAGAGAUUGAGAGGGAGAGAAGAGAAAUUAAGAGAGACGAGAGAGAUCGACGAGAGAGUGACAGAGAGCUACGAGAGAGUGACAGAAAGCUACGAGAAAGGGAGAGAUCUGCGAUUGAAAUCAAAAGAGA